UACGGGGGGGGCAAGCGUUGUUCGGAAUUACUGGGCGUAAAGGGCGCGUAGGCGGCCUGGCAAGUCGGUGGUGAAAGCUCAGGGCUCAACCCUGAGUCGGCCGGUGAUACUCCCGUGCUCGAGCACUGUAGAGGCAGGUGGAAUUCCGGGUGUAGCGGUGGAAUGCGUAGAGAUGCGGAGGAACACCGAUGGCGAAGGCAGCCCCCUGGGCUAACACUGACGCUCAGGCACGAAAGCGUGGGGAGCAAACAGG
rnacentral:rRNA from 1 species